rnacentral:lncRNA from 1 species
UGACAUAGAAUAGAUAUACACACUUAAUACAUUAGGAGAAGGUCCCUAGCAGAAUGACACAAUAUGGUGGCUUUUUAAACAACGACACGGAGUGGGAGAGAGAGAGAAACAGAGAAAGAGACACUUAUCGUUGAUACAUUUUAGAAACUAUUCUCACAGUAAUCAUGUACUUUGCACACAAACCGCUGCCGUUUAUCUAUGUCGGAAGCAGACCUUCUUAGGAAGGUUGUUGGGCCUUUUAGCAGCACGCUUGUAAGGCUCUGAUUGUCCGAAAGGGUCCGGACCUGUCUCUUCUACUGUUAUUCACUCUGGACGAUGCUCCUUUUGAAGAUAGGCUAGCCAGCUGUGUCGAUGGUUCCCAUUGGAUGAUGAGAGUAGAGUACUACGGUGAUUUGAGAAGAGUCGUACAGUGUUCCACUUGAAUUCCCUUUUCUAGAUACUUUUCCUAGGACAGCUAAUCAGCUGUACCAGUGAUUGUCUUAGAGGUGAGCUUCUCACCUCUUCUUCGUGUUGAUAUUCAGAGUUCAAACCACUUUAGACAUGGGCUGCAGCUGGGCUGCAGCUCCCCAUCUUUCCUGGUCUGGGAGGAACCAGGGUCUCCUUGUUAAGUUGGGCUGUCAGCUGGGGACUCUCUCCAUGGGGCAAAUCAUGGAGAUGACUAGAAAGGCCAUGCUGAGGGCCAUGAUCAUGCAGAUGACAUUGGGCAGGGACAUGUCCAAGAAGGAGGUGUCAAACUCCUUGCUCUCAACCACCUUUCUCAGUUCAUCGGGUGUGAUUUCCAUCCCAAUCCUUGACCAGGUUGGGUGUUUGCAGUGCUCCACACCAAUAUCAACGCAGACCAUUUUCAGAUAAUGAAGUUCCUAUGAGAAACAGCUCUGGGUCCUUCUCUUUGGCGGCCAGAGAUGUGUAUCCAAUCGUAACUGAGUAACGAAUGAGGGCCUGAGCCAGUGCAGCCUCAGACCAACUCAGAAGCCCCAUUAUUACAUCAUCUGUGCCAUGAUUGCAUCAUGACUGCCAAACAACAGCUAUACCAACUCUGAAAUGUAUCAUUUGUGAAAAUAGCAACCUUGUGUGGUGCAUAUUAAAACAAAUGUAACAAGCAAACAAGUAUCUUAAAUCAUGUUUUAUUUUAUUAUUAUUCUAUUAAUGAACUCAAUAAUUUUCAAAUUCCCUCUAACACCUUUCUUAAAACAAGCACAGUACAGAGUAGCAUCAAAAUACACAAGAAGGCUAAAUGUAGUUUGGAACUAAGUCAUAUUUUACUGAUUUUUGAAGCAUUUAUUUAAGGUUCAAGAAUAGAACAGGCUCCAAUUCCUGACUCAGAUUUGGCUGUCAGCACUCCUGAGUGGUUGCCCUUAUCUUCACUCUAUGGCUGAGUAGCAACACGAGGAAGACUCCACAGCUUCACAGUGGGUUAGUUCCUGGCCCCUGUGUUUUUCGAGUUACUUUUCCCAGUCUCCUCCGCUCCUCGUCGAUCGCCUGAAGCUUCUUCUCCAGGGCCAGCAGCCUAACCUCCACACUCUUCAGAUGUAUGAACUGCUCUGACAGCAUGGCGGAUGCGUUCAGCAUGUCAGACUUCUUCUGCAGGAAAAACACAUUUCAGAGAUGGCCCCCUUACAUUUUUUACCAACAUUUUGACAACUGAUAAAUCCUCUUAGUAUUAUUAACAAUUUUCCUCAAAGUUUUUAUGAAAGCAGGUGCAGAAUGUUACUUACCAGUGAUGCCUUGAUCAGCUUCCUCUUGAAUAUUUUGUGGAUAUUAAAGGCAAAAAAUGCCAAGAAGAUCACUGGCAGGUAUGGGAGUACAGGUUCUAUUGCACUAAAAACUAGGCUAAUCCGGCUGGCAGGUUCAGGUCUGAAAAAUACAACAAGUUCCUCUGGAGUUAUAUCUAUUCCCACCGUUGCCCAUGUGGGUAGGCUGGGGAAAAUUAGAUUUUUGGGGGGUGGGGGCCUGGAAAAGGGCCAUAUAGAAAAGGCCAUUUUACAAGAUUAAACCAUACCCAGUGAAGCUGAGACAGGCAAUAGAAAUUGAGCACAAUUUAGAAUGUCAAUCUGAGCAUAGAAUCUUUGGCAACAUUCCACUCAGAGCUGUAAUUGUGACAGUAUCAUGGAACUGUGAGAUCCUUCUCUUACAAUCACUUAUUAUGCAAACUCAUAAUUCCAUACCAACUCAAAGAGAUGGCAGAGAGCAUCAGUUAAAUUCCUCAAGUUGUGGAUUUAUUUCAGAAAGAACUACUUAAAUUUUGAAAAUUCACAAUCAAUGAUCAUUUUAAAAUGCCAUUAAUAGAAACAUACUGCAAUAAAUACAACAUUAUCAAAAAUACAUUUUUUAAGUAAUGCUUCAUAGUCUGUACAGCCCUGAGACAUACACUGAGUGUACAAAACAUUAAGGACACCUCUUUCCAUGACAGAUUGACCAGGUGAAUCCAGGUAAAACCUAUAAUCCCUUACCGAUGUCUCUUGUUAAAUCCAUUUCAAAAUCAGUGUAGAUGAAGGGGAGGAGACGGGUUAAAGAAUAUUUUUUAAGCCUUGACACAAUUGAGACGUGGAUUGUGUAUGUGUGCCAUUUAGAGGGUUAAUGGACAAGAUCAAAUAUUUAAGUUCUUUUGAACAGGGUAUGGUACUAGGUGCUGGGCGCACCGGUUUGCGUUUAAAAAAAACGCUGCUGGGUUUUUCAUGCUCAACAGUUUCCCGUGUGCAUCAAGAAUGGUCCACUACCCAAAAGACAUUGAGCCAUCUUGACACAACUGUGGCAAGCAUUGGAGUCAACAUGGGACAGCAUCCCUGUGAAAGGCUUUCGAUACCUUGUAGUGUCCAUGCCCCGACAACUUGAGGCUGUUAUAUCGAAUAGCAAUACAAUUCUAUGGCUUGCAUGUCGUCUCAAAAAAAGCAUGAUCAUUCCAUCCUCGAGUCUGAACAGAUUACAUUGUAAUGGCCUAUGAUAAAAGUAAUUGUUACCAAUGUGAUUUAACAAAAUAACUUCCUUUGAAUGGCUUUUUCACCCUAUGGUCCAACUAUGUAAUAACUUACACCAGACAUCUGCCAAAUGUAGCAUUUCCCAGAGUAACAGAUUAGAAUCAAAGCUUUUAAAUGUCCAGCUUGACCUAAAUCACUUCUUAAGUGUACCGUUUCUGCCCUAACAUUUUAGAGAUGAGUCAUUAGUCGGGUGAAUUCAUCACUUAAACGACUUAAUUAUACUGCUGUGUCAGACCAAUAAUGCAUCUCAUUAAGAAUUUUUUUUUGAAUAUGAAUAUGCAUAUAAUUGGUUUUUAGGGUGGUGCUAAAGUGAUCUUCAGAAGUAAACAGCGGCUUUUGAGAGUCAUGAUAGCUUGCAGUGAUGACGCAAGAAAUGAAAGCUGAAAAAAGAAAGCUGGGACCCUUUGGAUGACAAAUAAGAGGAAGAUUUUCAAAAAGUAAAUUAAUAUUUCAUUGCUAUUUGUGAAUUUAUGAAACCUGUGCCGGUGUAAAAAUAUUUUGAUGUGGGGCGCCGUCCUCAAACAAUCGCAUGGCAUGCUUUCGCUGUAAUGGUUCAAAGGGCUUUAUUGGGAUGGGACACGUAUGUUUACAUUGCCAAAGUAAGUGAUAUAGACAAGAAACAAAAGAGAAAUAAAAAUGUACUGUUAACAUUGCACUCACAAAAGUUUUUAAAUAAUAUAGAUAUUUUAAAUGUUAUUAUUGGCUGUGCUGGGAAAUCAUAGUCACAAACCACAGUUGGAUCACCUGCUUUACUGUCCUCCCUUCGACUUGUGACGGACCCUCCCACUUUGUCUGACAAAUUCUUUCUCUUUGCUUUUGUUUUCCUUUAUAGGAUGUCGGGGGGCGGAGCUGGGAAGGUCGUCAGUGAAAUGGGACACACCUGGGCUCGGGUGUGUCCCGGGGAUAAAUACACUGAGGAGACUCUCCAUGCAGACUCACUGUUGGAGUUUGGGUGUGCCAUUUUGUGCCUUGUUUGUUUUUGCACCUCGCAACAACCCUGAUUAUUACCAUCUAUGCACACAACCACUCACUCACAUUACUGAUCACACACACACACCAUUGUUAAUUGUAUAUAGUUUACUUUAGUUAAUAAAUAUAUUUGUGUUAUUCCUUGAUCUCUGCAUUGUCUCCCUUUUUGUUAUGGGCUACUAGCUGAUUUGUAACAAGUGGGGACCCCGACCGGCAUAAUAAAGUUGGUUCCUAGACAUUUUGGUGUAUAGUAUUUUGUUGCAUUGUGAUGGGAUAAUGAUAAUUGGGAUGUGCUUUGAC